UACGGCCGCAAGGUUAAAACUCAAAUGAAUUGACGGGGGCCCGCACAAGCGGUGGAGCAUGUGGUUUAAUUCGAUGCAACGCGAAGAACCUUACCUGGUCUUGACAUCCACAGAACUUUCCAGAGAUGGAUUGGUGCCUUCGGGAACUGUGAGACAGGUGCUGCAUGGCUGUCGUCAGCUCGUGUUGUGAAAUGUUGGGUUAAGUCCCGCAACGAGCGCAACCCUUAUCCUUUGUUGCCAGCGAUUAGGUCGGGAACUCAAAGGAGACUGCCAGUGAUAAACUGGAGGAAGGUGGGGAUGACGUCAAGUCAUCAUGGCCCUUACGACCAGGGCUACACACGUGCUACAAUGGCGCAUACAAAGAGAAGCGACCUCGCGAGAGCAAGCGGACCUCAUAAAGUGCGUCGUAGUCCGGAUUGGAGUCUGCAACUCGACUCCAUGAAGUCGGAAUCGCUAGUAAUCGUGGAUCAGAAUGCCACGGUGAAUACGUUCCCGGGCCUUGUACACACCGCCCGUCACACCAUGGGAGUGGGUUGCAAAAGAAGUAGGUAGCUUAACCUUCGGGAGGGCGCUUACCACUUUGUGAUUCAUGACUGGGGUGAAGUCGUAACAAGGUAACCGUAGGGGAACCUGCGGUUGGAUCACCUCCUUACCUUAAAGAAGC
rnacentral:rRNA from 2 species